AGCCGCACCAUCAGACCCUCUCGACUCUCCCUCUCGCUCUUCUCGAUCCCUCUCUCUGUCGACUCCCUCUCUCUCCCUCACACCCACCGCACCGCCGCAAGCCCUCGGGAAUCGAAUCUCAGUCGCUCCUCUCUGGCUCUUCCUCUCUCUUUCUCUCUCCCUCUCUUUAACCAGUCACUGAUCUUGACCUGCUGUCGAUCCCGAUUGGACACCACUAAAACCGUCGACCGGCGUGAUCGAGGCUCUCAGGCUUUGAAUCGAUGGUAUGUAGUUCUUCUUCACCUCAAAAGGUUUGAAAUCUCAGUAUCGCACGAAGGUAAGGUUUUUCUUUCUCCAAGGGAUUUCUUCUCUUUCCGAUAAUCACCACCUGUGGCCGAUCGAACAUUACGCUCGCCCAAGUAGCGGGAACAGCCGAGGUCAAAGUGCAUUGCUGAUGGAGUGUUCUUCGCUGAGCUGAACGACGUGUUGACGAGAGAGCUAGCGGAGGUCAGGGUAACUCCUAUGCAAAUUGAGGUCUCCAUCAGAGCCACUCGCUAUCAGAACAUCCUCGUUUUCUUAAAGUUCCCCUCAGUCAUAGAACGCCGACGUCAGCGUGCUACAGAUGAGCCAGGGAAGCAGAUGAGAAGUGAUGUUAAGAUUAAGAACACUAGCAGUUCUCAUGUGGCUUCAAGGAGGUUUAUGUGAGUGAAAAAACUGAUGCUGGGAGGAAGGUAUUGGCGAUGAGAUGCCAAUGACCCACUUAUCACCGGUGGAGAUCGAGAAGGAAUGAAGGAUGGUGGUGCCACGGCCGGUGGCGGUGGUCAUGAUAAUAAAGGUCAUGCAAUCGGCAAUUCAAGCAGCUCCAGCGGCUCAAGCAGCGAUUCAUCCUCAUCAAGUGAUUCUGAAUCUGGGAGCUCUUCGGGAAGUGAUUCUGAUGCGGAUGAUGCAGAGUCAGAUGAUGCAGAGUCGAGGGGCUGAGAGACCAAAUAAGUUUUAAAGACUUGAAUUAGGAGUGAGUGAUGACGAUUGAAGAAAACAAGGGUCUGAAUUCUUUCCUUUGGGAAAAGAAGAGCUAUAAAUCUACGGGCCACUGCCAAUUUCAUUCCGGCCAAGUCCUUCCGAGCUUGCAAGGCUUACUUCAGCAACGAGGUCAGAUCUCCGUUCGUUUUUUCCCUCCUUUGAUUUCGACGAUGAAUGUACAAAAAAGAGUAAGUCUUUAUUUUGCCUAUGGUGAAAUUCAAUCUAAUUCGUAUCUAUUGGCAUAACUUUCGAUCGAAAUCGUUCGAUUUUAUCGUAGUCAUGGGUAGAUUAUUAGUAUACUUUAGCAUUGAGGUCUUUUGCUUACGUAGCAAAGCAAUUGAUUGAAGAUAUUGGAGUUUGUCAUAGGUAUAGUCAGAUGAUAGAUGAACUGAUUUUUCCACUUGGGUAACAGAUAGCUAGACAAGUAUUGGAUUUUUUAGGAUUAAGAGCUGCCUUAGUGGACCUGUUAGUGAGUGCAUUUCUGUCACAUUGUAAAUCAUGGAAUCCUCAUGAGUACAUGAAAUGAUCCAAGUUUGUUUGCUUUGAUUGGAGAGAUGAUGUCAAAAGUUCAAUAUUAGACUGAAAGUAGGAUUGUGAACAUCACAAAAAU